AUUGAACGCUGGCGGCAUGCUUUACACAUGCAAGUCGAGCGGUAACAGCACUUCGGUGGCUGACGAGUGGCGAACGGGUGAGUAAUACAUCGGAACGUGCCUAGUAGUGGGGGAUAACUACUCGAAAGAGUAGCUAAUACCGCAUGAGAUCUAAGGAUGAAAGCAGGGGACCUUCGGGCCUUGCGCUACUAGAGCGGCUGAUGGCAGAUUAGGUAGUUGGUGGGAUAAAAGCUUACCAAGCCGACGAUCUGUAGCUGGUCUGAGAGGACGACCAGCCACACUGGGACUGAGACACGGCCCAGACUCCUACGGGAGGCAGCAGUGGGGAAUUUUGGACAAUGGGCGCAAGCCUGAUCCAGCAAUGCCGCGUGCAGGAUGAAGGCCUUCGGGUUGUAAACUGCUUUUGUACGGAACGAAAAGCCCUCUUCUAAUACAGGAGGGUCAUGACGGUACCGUAAGAAUAAGCACCGGCUAACUACGUG
rnacentral:rRNA from 1 species